rnacentral:rRNA from 1 species
CCUACGGGAGUCAGCAGUGGGGAAUAUUGCACAAUGGGGGAAACCCUGAUGCAGCGACGCCGCGUGAGCGAUGAAGUAUUUCGGUAUGUAAAGCUCUAUCAGCAGGGAAGAAAAUGACGGUACCUGACUAAGAAGCCCCGGCUAACUACGUGCCAGCAGCCGCGGUAAUACGUAGGGGGCAAGCGGUAUCAGGAUUUACUGGGUGUAAGGGGAGCGUAGACGGUCCUGCAAGCCAGAGGUGAAAGCCCGGGGCCCAACCCCGGGACUUCAUUUGGAACUGUAAGGCUAGAGUGUCGGAGAGGCAGGCGGAAGUCCUGGUGUAGCGGUGAAAUGCGUAGAUAUUAGGAGGAACACCGGUGGCGAAGGCGGCUUGCUGGACGGUAACUGACGUUGAGGCUCGAAAGCGUGGGGAGCAAACAGGAUUAGAUACCCUAGUAGUC